GUUUUUCUCCAUGGCACUUAUAACCACCCAGCAAAUCAUGUUUGUUUAUUGUCUCUUUCCCCUGAUUAGCAUAGAACCUUCAUGAGGACAAGGAGUUUGUUUUUUCUGACUGCUGUACUCCUAAUACCUAAAGAAGUUCAUGGGUCAUUAUAGGCGCUCAGUAUUUAUUCGAUGGACAGGUGGACAGACAGAUGGACGGAGGGACGGAUGGACAGAUGAUGGUGACAAACAUAUUCAGCUCCUGCGUGCUGGGUACUAUGUGCAGCUGUUUACUCACGUUACCAUCUUUCAUCCUCACAAUUCUGUUGCGAGCCACUGUGGCCGUGACUCAGCAGAUCUGGAGUCCCUCCCAGGCACCCAGCAAGUGUCGGCAGCGCUCAGAGGCUUCUGGUACAGACGGUCCUGAGACACACUGUCCUACACAAAGUCGCCUCCAGAAGACCUGUCACCUUGCCAUUUAUAGAGUGUGGACAAGGGGAUAGUGAGGACCCCAGAACCCCUCCAACAGCAUAGCCGUCCACAAAGCCCUCCUUAGAAGACGGAUGUCUCCAGGGGUAAGGCACACCCGAUAGAGUGUGAACAUACCUGGAGACCAUGUAUUUCCUUCCCAAAAGAGAGGACCCCAGAAACCAAAUUGAUGGCCAAGUGGCAGGAAGUGGGAGCCCUGUGCUGCUGCACCCCUUGGACAGGUCUCUUUGUGGUGCACAGGCUAUGCGGCUCCAGCCCUGCGGCUUCCCUGUGCCCAGGCUCUCCUACACUCACCAUGCAGUUGCUGUUCACCAUCGGAAAGGUCUUUGGAUUUGUCUAACUGUGGCAGCAGCCCAUUUUAUGAGAUGCUUCUUGCUCGCUUCCCCAGAGCAUUGUGUUGGGCAAACUGAGGAGCCGAGAGGGCAAGAGAGCCAGCAGGAGCAGCCACGAUGCACCACGUACACAUGGAAGUACCCCACCGUGGCCCCCAACCUGAGACUCUGUGGCUUGCAGUGACCCAGGGAGAUCCAGAACAUCGCAUUACCCGAGCAGACAGUGUCUGUAAGUGGAUGCCAUCCAGUCAGUCCUUGCCCUGGAGUCUCCAGGCCUUAGGCUGGCCCCACAGCGGCCUGAACACAGGUGCCUCAGCCUCUCCCCUCUUUGGUGCCCGAAGAGGAAUUAUGUCCAGUCAGCCUAGUGACACCUCAGCCAGCAGCAGGGCAAAGGCAAGAGGGCCACACUCCAGGGUCAAGCGAGGACAGAAGGGCCAGAGUUCCCAUUAGUUCAGCAUAGCAGAAGCCCAGGAAAAAAACAAUUUUAUUUUUCUUAAAAUAAUUUGAUCAGCAUAUAUUUGUAAUUGAAAUAGUCUUUAUGGGAAAAGUGAACAAGUUGUUAGACUUCCUUACAUUUAUUUGGUGGCUUAGAAAUGUUUUUUCUUUUUAAUGGGGGCAAGGAGGGUGUUGAGUAGAGGCACUCUAAUCGUUUUAGUGCUUAGAGUCUUUAAAGGUCCUAAUCCUUUAAAGGUCCUCCUUUAAAGGUCUGCCCCAAACAGGGACACGUAAUCUGUGCUCAGUCCCUCAACAUUCUUAAGCAGCUGGUUCAAGACAAAGUCAUGCUCUGGCAGUGGAGCUGAUACUAAUAAGGAAUGUGGAAAAGCAUUGCGUCUGAGGGAAAGCCAGUGUGGCCAAAACAAGCUGUGGAAAUUAAAUCUGUCGAUGACCAGAUUGAGCUCAUACUUCUGUACCACGUUAGAGAAGACCUAAGAAGCUCAUUCUCUCAUUUAUUCACCCAUUCUCUAGUGAGCCUCUGUAACAUUUGCAGCCCAGCCACCAUUUGCAUUCCUUCUGGUAAUUGCUGUCUGUACUUUCACUUCUCCUUGAGGAAUGGGCCAUCUCCUAGCUCAGCCCACACACCAGUCAGCACGUUCCAUCCACAGGCCAUGGUGACUGGGUCAGGGAGGAACAAGCGACCCGAGUCAGGCCAAUCCCAGCCAACAAGACCCAAUUCUGGGGCAUCUGUUCCAGCUACUGGAAACCACUCUUCUGCUUCUGAUGUGGCCUGAAUAUGACGCCAACCCAGAGGAAGCUGGCUGAGAGGUGGUUCCAAAUGGCAUCAUGUGAGCCCCAACACCAGCUAUGCCUCUACCUCCAGACUGUGAAGUUCCAUGAGCAACAAGCUCUCUUUGCUUAAGCAAAACACAAGUCACUAGGAGUUGAAUUUCUGGCAUUCGAUGCCAAAACAGUACUUCAAGGGGAGCCAUGCUCUUCCCACACUGGGCUGUUAGCUCCUGGGGCUGGACUUGGUCCAUUCACAUUGAUAUCCCCUCCACACCCAUGGCCUGCAGCAGUGGUUCUCAGGGUGGGGGCACGACCGGGAGGGAGGCAUUUCGCACAUUGGUGGGGGUGUUUUUGGUUUUCACAAUGACUGGGGAACCCAACUGGUGCUCCUGGUGGGAGCCCACCAGGCUCGACUUCCUGCAGUGUGUGGCUGGGGUAAGACUGGUCUUGGUCUAGUUCAGAACUUUACCAAGAGCUGUUCAUCAUUUUGAAAACUCAUGCCAAAGAUGGCCACCCCACCCCACCCUACCUGCCCUACUGAGUCACCAUGCACCACCACACACCUGUGCCUGUCACAUGGCAGUGACUGCCCAAGGCCACGUGCAUCAGACUUCUUUUAAUGUCUCCUGGUGUAGUCUGCCCAAGCACUUACAUAUGGA
ensembl:lncRNA